GACUCUCUUCUCUGUUCUUUCUCUGUCGCUCGCAAUCUCAGACGUCACGCGACCGAGACCGGCGACUUCUUCUUCUUUCGGUGGCGCCGGCGAGGAGGGGACCUCGGAGCUUCGACAAGAAGAAAGCGACGGAGCUCGGUUUGGGGAUUUCGCCGGCUGUCGGGAGGGAACCGAGGGCAUCGGCGUUGGAUCUGGGCAUUGACGACAGGUUGUGUGAGGUAACGCCCAUUGUUCCCUUCCGAUUUCCCUGUUUUGUUCGUCGGCAAGAACAAGUCGAGCCCUAACUUCGAUCUCGGAGCAAAUAUUGGUGUUGUGAUUCCGGCCACUACAGAUCUGCUGGGGAUUACUCUUCUACAUCAUAUCUGUGAUUUUCUCCAGCGAUUAAAGAAGAAGAGGACCUUGAUCGGCGGCGUGCCGCGUGACGUGGUGGUUCUGUUGAUUGCGGGAUAUAUCGAGGCG